AUGGCCACCAGGCUCCUCUGCUGGGUGGCCCUUUGUCUCCUGGGAGUAGAGCCCACACAAGCUGGGGUCACCCAGAGACCCAGGCACGAGGUGACAGAAAUGGGACAAAACGUAACUCUGAGUUGUGAGCCAAUUUCAGGCCACAAUGAUCUUUACUGGUACAGACAGACCUCAGUGCAGGGACUAGAGUUCAUGAUUUACUUCAGCAAUCGAAGUCCCAUGGACGACACAGGGAUGCCCAAGAAGCGGUACUCAGCUCGGAUGCCUAAUGCUUCGUUCUCCACUCUGAUGAUCCAGUCCUUGGAGCCGGGGGACUCAGCCGUGUACCUCUGUGCCAGCAGAUUAGCCACAGCGCUGCACAGUCGCCCCCUCCCUGUGCAGAAACCUCAGCUUCCCCUUCUCUCAGCAGCUGCCAGGGGUCCUGAGUAA